UACGAACUGUGCAAACGUUAUUCGGAUUCACUGGGCUUAAAGGGUGCGUAGGCGGCCAUGUAAGUAGGGUGUGAAAUCCCCCGGCUUAACCGGGGAACUGCGCCCUAAACUGUGUGGCUUGAGUGAGAUAGGGGUGUGUGGAGCUUCCGGUGGAGCGGUGAAAUGCGUUGAUAUCCACAGGAACUCCGGUGGCGAAGGCGGCGUGCUGGACCCCAUCUGACGCUGAGGCGCGAAAGCCAGGGGAGCAAACGGG
rnacentral:rRNA from 1 species